UGGCUCAUGCCUGUAAUCCCAGCAAUUUGGGAGGCCGAGGCGGGUGGAUCACCUGAGGUCAGGAGUUCGAGACCAGCCUGGCCAACAUGGAGAAACCCCGUCUCUACUAAAAAUACACAAAUUAGCCGGGUGUGGUGGUGCACACCUGUAGUCCCAGCUACUCGGGAGGCUGAGGCAGGAGAAUCACUUGAACCCGGGAGGCGGAGGUUGUGGUGAGCUGAGAUUGUGCCAUUGCGCUCCAGCCUGGGCAACAAGAGCAAAACUCCAUCUCAAAAAAAAAAAAAAAAAGUGAUCUUUAGGCCGGGCACAGUGGCUUGUGCCUGUAAUCCCAGCACUUUGGGAGGCUGAGGUGGGUGAAUCACUUAAGGUCAGGAGUUGAAGACCAGCCUGGCCAACAUGGUGAAACCCCAUCUUUACCAAAAAUACAAAAAUUAGCCGGGUGUGGUGGCACGCACCUGUGAUCCCAGCUACUUGGGAGGCUGAAGCAGGAGAACCACUUGAACCCAGGAGGCGGAGGUUGCAGCGAGCCAAGAUCUCGCCACUGCACGCCAGCCUGGGCAACAGAGCGAGACUACAUCUCAGAAAAAAAAACAGUGAUCUUUAGCCAGAAGGAAAAUGGUCCCAUUCAGAAUCAGAGAUACCUCAAGUGAUGAAGCACAGAUUCGUAGAAAUGUGGUGAGUCUAAAUGAACAUCAAUUCUAUUAAAAAAGAUAAAAUAGUGGCCGGCGCGGUGGCUUACGUCUGUAAUCCCAGCACUUUGGGAGGCCGAGGGGGGCGGAUCACCUGAGGUCAGGAGUUCAAGACCAGCCUGACCAACAUGGUGAAACUCCAUCUCUACUAAAAAUACAAAAAAAAUUAGCAAGGUGUGGUGGCACAUGCCUGUAAUCCCAGCUACUAGGGAGGCUGAGAUGGGAGAAUCACUUGAACCCAGAAGGCCUCUCACGCCAUUGCAUUCCAGCCUGGGCGACAGAGCAAGACUCCGUCUCAAAAAAAAAAAAAAAGUUCUGUCUUGUGGGAGAUUUAAGUUUUUGUGGUGAAAUUAAAAUUCAUACCAUAAAUACAAACCUGGAAAGGAGUGAAUACAAUGAGGCGAACCCACUGGGCGGUUACACAGUGGCCCACAGCUGUAGUCCCCACUACUCAGAAGGCUGAGGCAGGAGGACGGCUGGAGCCCAGGAGUUCAAGACCCACAUGGGCAACAUAGUGAGAUGGAGCAGGGACCCCUCCUAGGUGCCUGCCAGGCUCUCCCAAGCUUGGAAAUCAAGGAACACUCUUGAAUCCCUUCAAGGGAAAUUCCAGUCACCUUGCCAGCCUUGAAAGGUAAGUGAGCAGCCUGCCAGGAAGGCGACGGGAGCACGGGUCUCCCAAGCAGGCCACAGCCACAGGUGGUUUGCUUCCCUAUAGAAACUAAAGCAUAACAUACAUUCUCAAGUCUUUCAGAAACCCCCACCCGGUGGAAAAUGCCGACUGCUAUCACAGAGACCCAGAUAAGGGGGAACUGAGGACUGAACUCUGGCCGUGUUCUCUGUCAUGAAUUUCUUCUUGAGGGGCCUGGAGGGAGUCACAGCUGUGAGCCACUAAUGUGUGCCCCCAUGCACACAGCACCCUUGGCAUAACUAACUCCAUCUUAGAGACUCCAUUGUAUAUCUUACAGGGCACUUGGCCAACAAAGGUAAGAUGUUUUGCUUAAUAAACAAGUUAAAAAUAAAGCCUGCAUCCAAACAGAUGAGGACGCAAGCAAGCGCACUCUUCAGAUGUCACUUCUCACGGGAGGCCUCUGUGAUUGCAGAAGGAAAGGCCCCAGCAGAACUCACCAUCUGCCGCCUGAGGCUCCACCACCUCGAAGACAUCCUUGCAAGAUCCACAGACUGGCCCAGACCAGGAGGUUUCUGUCUUCUUCUUGUGUCUUCUUCACUCUCCUGGACUGGUUCGUGAACCCUUUCUCCUAUCUCUGUUUCCUCUGGAUGUUAAGUGCUACUUUCUUUGUUGUGGAACGUUAACCUGUAACAUGUAUAUACUGAUUAAGUACACUAUUACGUUGUCGUGUGCAAUAUUGGCUGACAUGUGCAGUGGCUUGAGCCCGUGUGACCGCAGCUCUCACUACUGAGGGAAAGGAGCACUAAGCAGCAUGCCUCCUUGGGAACGCCGUGUGGCUCGUGGCUUUAGGGAUUGAAAUAGCCUCAAUAAAAUUCUGACAUUGUGAAAGACACAGGCAUGCUUGGAUGUGAUUAUCUCUAACUUUGCACUGCUCAUGACACCCCAUGUAUUGGUUAAUGAUUUUGCCUGCAACUUCUGCUUUCCUGAAAUGUACCCAUACCCCUAAAAACCCCAGCUUGUAAGCCACUGGGGAGUUUGGGUCUUAAGCGUGAGCUGUCCGUUCUCCUUGCUUGGUACCGUGCAAUAAAUAUCAUCUUUCCCCUGCUGCAAAUUGCAACAUCAGUGUUUGACUUUACUGCCCUGGGUGAGAAGAGCCCAGCUCGGUUCAGUAACUGUAGAAGACUGUAAGAGGCGUCCAAACUGGAGUGACCCCAUCGUGAAUAAAAGCUAAACAAAGCCACACCUGCUGGGUGACAUUCCCAGGGGUUGGGCAUUGUGUGUCACAAGAUGCCUGUGGUUGAGGGAACGAGUUAAUAAUGCUAACUAAUUAAUCAGACGCAGAACUUAAGGAAAUGUCCCAACAUUUUAAGAACAAAAAGCAUUCUAAGUUGGAGAAUAAGAUUUGCUUUAAAAAUAAUGGUAUAGGAGUCAGGUAUGGUGGCUCACACCUGU
rnacentral:lncRNA from 1 species